rnacentral:rRNA from 1 species
UUGAAAGGGAAACGAUUGAAGUCAGUCGUGCUGGCGCGAAAUCAACCCUCUCAUCNGGAGACCCAUGUUGUGGCGAGCCNUCAAAACCCUCACGAAGNAUGUGUNUNGNGAUGAGGGGGAGGACUUUCGUGUCCGCUGGUUAACAUCAAUUUCGAACGUCAUAAAAAGGCUGGAGGGAUGUGGCUCCUUCGGGAGUGUUAUAACCUUUAGCGGAAUGUGGUGUUCGGGAUUGAGGAUUGCAACGAAUACCUUUAGGGCUGUUCCACCUGGCUUCUNUUUGGUAUCCUGGUGACGACAGCUUNUGAGCGUUAGGAUUCGCUUUGAACAGGNAGAGUGUGAGCAAAUCGUUAAGGAUGUUGACGUA